ACAGGACUCACCCAGGCAGCUUGUCAAAAUGCAGAUUCUGACCCAGGAGGUCAGGGUUUGGGAUUCUGCAUUUCUAUCAGCUUCCAGGGAUGUUGAU
rnacentral:miRNA from 1 species